rnacentral:rRNA from 1 species
UACGUAGGGGGCUAGCGUUGUCCGGAAUCAUUGGGCGUAAAGCGCGUGUAGGCGGCCCGAUAAGUCCGCUGUGAAAGUCCAGGGCUCAACCCUGGGAUGCCGGUGGAUACUGUCGGGCUCGAGUCCGGAAGAGGCGAGUGGAAUUCCUGGUGUAGCGGUGAAAUGCGUAGAUAUCAGGAGGAACACCGGUGGUGUAGACGGCUCACUGGACCGUAACUGACGCUGAGACGCGAAAGCGUGGGGAGCAAACAGG